rnacentral:rRNA from 1 species
UACGUAGGGCGCGAGCGUUGUCCGGAAUUAUUGGGCGUAAAGCGCGCGUAGGCGGCUUUGCAAGUCGGGUGUGAAAUCCCCAGGCUUAACCUGGGAACUGCAUUCGAGACUGCAUUGCUAGAGUAUGGGAGAGGGAAGUGGAAUUUCCGGUGUAGCGGUGAAAUGCGUAGAUAUCGGAAGGAACAUCAGUGGCGAAAGCGACUUCCUGGACCAAUACUGACGUCAUGUGCGAAAGCGUGGGGAGCAAACAGG